rnacentral:rRNA from 1 species
CGUUAUCCGGAAUUAUUGGGCGUAAGCGCGCGUAGCGGUUUUUUAAGUCUGAUGUGAAAGCCCACGGCUCAACCGUGGAGGGUCAUUGGAAACUGGAAAACUUGAGUGCAGAAGAGGAAAGUGGAAUUCCAUGUGUAGCGGUGAAAUGCGCAGAGAUAUGGAGGAACACCAGUGGCGAAGGCGACUUUCUGGUCUGUAACUGACGCUGAUGUGCGAAAGCGUGGGGAUCAAACAGGAUUAGAUACCCUGGUAGUCAAGGGCG